UACGUAGGGGGCGAGCGUUGUCCGGAGUUACUGGGCGUAAAGGGCAUGCAGGCGGUCGGACGCGUUUCGGGUGACAGCGGGUGGCUUAACUACCCGAGUGGUCGAAAGACGGUUUGACUUUGAGGACGCGAGAGGGACACGGAAUUCCCGGGUGGAGUGGUGAAAUGCGUAGAGAUCCGGAGGAACACCGAAGGCGAAGGCAGUGUCCUGGCGCGUAACUGACGCUGAGGUGCGAAAGCCGGGGAGCGAACGGG
rnacentral:rRNA from 1 species